rnacentral:misc_RNA from 1 species
AGUUUGCCCUUUCAUUCUAUUACCGAGGCCCACAUUUAUUGUACUUGGGGCUGAUGUCAUACGCAGUCGAGCGAGCGUCAGCUUCGUGGCGGGACAGACAGAAUUAACCGCGUUGGCGGUCAAGUUCCGCGGGUUGUCGUCUGCUAGACACAAAUUAGGAUUGAAGACUGAUUUACAAAAACAAUAAAAUGUGUGGCAUAUGGGCAGUUUUUGGCCUAGCAACAAGCACUUCUGUGCACUCAAACACCUCCUUCUCAAAGAUAAGUCACCGUGGUCCUGACGCAUGGCGCAUAGAACAUGACAAACGAAUACAGAACAGUUGCAUUGGGUUUCACCGUUUAGCAAUUGUGGACUGUAUAUAUGGAAUGCAACCAAUGAAAAUACAUGCCUAUCCUCAUCUCACCCUUAUAUGCAAUGGGGAGAUAUAUAACUGCAAAAAUUUGGCACAGCAGUUUGGAUUUAAGUAUGAAACCAACUGUGAUGUUGAGUCAGCAAUUCACCUUUUUGCCAAAGGUGGAAUUAGCAUGUGUGCUCGCCAUCUGGAUGGAGUUUUUGCCUUGUGCAUCAUAGAUAGCAACAAGCGCCGUCUCUAUCUCGCCCGUGAUCCUUUUGGAGUGAGGCCCCUCUUCCGACUUCGAUCUGGCUCAGGAGUUCUUGCUGUGUCAUCUGAAGCUAAAGGACUUAUGGACAUGGCUUGUGAUCUUGAAGGAACUGCAUGGAAGUUGGAACCAUUUCCACCUGGAGUGGUAGAAGCCUACCAGAUCAGAGAUGAUGGAACAACUACUCUUUUGCAGUCAGAAAAGUACUACAAUAUUGGAAGCAAACCGGCAGCAAAACCAUUUGUGCCAUAUGAUGACUUCCAUCCCACUGACAUACAUGCCAAUAUUCGUACCCUUUUGAGGUCUGCUGUGAGGAAGAGACUGAUGUCUGAUCGCCGAAUUGGUUGCCUGCUUUCUGGUGGCUUAGAUUCCAGUCUUGUUACAGCACUGCUUGUGCGUUUGGCUAAAGAGGAAGGCAUUUCAUACCCGAUCCAGACAUUUUCUAUAGGUAUGGAUAACAGUCCAGACAUUAUUCAUGCAAGAAAAGUGGCUGAGUAUCUGGGGACAGAGCACCAUCAAGUCCUAUUUACCCCUGAGGAUGUAAGACAAGUGCUGGAUGAUGUCAUACAUACUCUCGAGACCUUUGACAUUACAACUAUACGGGCUUCUGUGGGUAUGUACCUAAUAGCACGAUACAUAAAGGCUCAUACUGAUUCUACUGUAAUAUUCAGUGGGGAGGGUGCAGAUGAGUUGUGUGAAGGAUAUAUAUACUUCAGGGAUGCUCCAGAUGCUCAGGCAGGUGCUGAAGAGAGCUUGCGCCUGUUGAAAGAUAUUUAUCUUUAUGAUGGACUUCGUGUGGAUCGUACUUUAGCAGCAUUUUGUUUGGAAGCACGUGUACCAUUCCUUGACCAGCAGUUCACACAUUACUUCAUGGGUCUCCCACCUGCCAUGAGGUGUCCACAGAAAGGGAUAGAGAAACACUUGCUUCGAUCAGCAUUUGAUGAGACAGACUUACUUCCAAAAGAAAUACUGUGGAGGCACAAAGAAGCCUUUAGUGAUGGUGUUACAUCAAAGAAGAAGUCCCUCUUCAAUGUGAUACAGGACAUUGUGGAAUCUCAAGUGACUGAUAAUGAGAUGGCUGGUGCAUCGAAAAAGUAUCCCCACUGCACACCACCUACAAAGGAAGCAUAUUACUACAGGAAACAGUUUGAGAUGCAGUUUCCAAAUCAGUCACACCUGAUACCAUAUUUCUGGAUGCCACGAUGGGUGACUGUUAACGAUCCGUCAGCACGUUUCAUCAGUCACUAUUCAGCAGACAGUGACAGUGCCCAAGGAUAAUGGCAUUGCUCAUCUGAUGUAAGAACAUUGCUAGAAAAAUGCAGGCAAAGCUUGGUUGGAUAGCUGGAAUUGUUGCAGAUGGUAAGGAACUCUAUUUUGCAGCAAAAGGGUGUUGCAGCAGACAACUUAAAAUGCUUGAAGUGGUGAAUUAAUAAGACUAUUUUAUUGUUUUGAAGAUGACCAUAUUCCACUUUUUAAUAAUUUGUGUAUGUGUAUGAUUUAAAGAUUUUGUAAUAAGUUUAAAGCCGCAGUACAGACCUCUAUGAUAGUACAUAGUCCUACCAUUCAAACACUUUCUCAUAGGUUUCUAUUGAGUUAUCUUCUUUUGCUCUGUGCUCUGUCUGCCUGUGGUUAUACCUUCGUUUCUAUUAAUAAAUGUUUGCAAACAUUACAUUAUUAGCAGUAACAACAGGAAUAAUGAGACACAGUGAAAACUCAAUUUGUAGUCCUCUUUACAACUGCUUCGCCUGCUUCUUUGAUGGAGUUCAUGUGAACCAGUGUUAGUUUUAAGUCCAAAAGUUGCCAUAGGGACCCUUCCAUUGUAUUAAUCUUUUAUUUUUGUAUCAUAUUCUACCACUUUAUCUUGGGGUGUUCAAAGAGUUCGGAAUACUACCUUAACAAUACCAUUUUUGUAAACUGCAUUGUUAUAUUUAAAUUUGAAGUGCUCAGUGCAUUUUUACUGUUGUGAUUAUUCCAUGAAGAUGUAGAAAAAGUGAGAAAAACAAAUAGAGAAUAUAUAUUUUACAGAAUAAAUUGUAUUCACUCCAUUGACCCUA